ACUCCGUUAAGGCCUCCGCAAUACACGCACCAAAAGAUGGCGAUAUCAAACAAGCCUGGUUGUUUUCUGGUCCAGAGGCCUCGACAACUUCACCGUACUUGCGCAUAGCGAUGCAAUGGGAAACAGAUGUGGGGGCGGGGCCCCGGGAGGAGGAGCCUGAGCAGCUGAGGGCGGUGGAGUUCAUCGGGGCGUGGCUCGAGCCCACUGCGGUCAGCCUCGACCCGCUAAUGCUCGCAGGAUUGGUGUACAUGCCCCGUGUCACACUAU